rnacentral:rRNA from 1 species
UACGUAGGGCGCAAGCGUUGUCCGGAAUUAUUGGGCGUAAAGAGCUCGUAGGCGGCUUGUCACGUCGGGUGUGAAAGCCCGGGGCUUAACCCCGGGUCUGCAUUCGAUACGGGCUAGCUAGAGUGUGGUAGGGGAGAUCGGAAUUCCUGGUGUAGCGGUGAAAUGCGCAGAUAUCAGGAGGAACACCGGUGGCGAAGGCGGCGACCUGGGCAGAUACUGACACUGAGGUGCGAAAGCGUGGGGAGCAAACAGG